AGUGAACGCUGGCGGUAGGCCUAACACAUGCAAGUCGAACGGCAGCACAGUAAGAGCUUGCUCUUACGGGUGGCGAGUGGCGGACGGGUGAGGAAUACAUCGGAAUCUACUUUUUCGCGGGGGAUAACGUAGGGAAACUUACGCUAAUACCGCAUACGACCUACGGGUGAAAGCAGGGGAUCUUCGGACCUUGCGCGAUUGAAUGAGCCGAUGUCGGAUUAGCUAGGUGGCGGGGUAAAGGCGCACCAAGGCGACGAUCCGUAGUUGGUCUGAGAGGAUGACUAGCCACCCUGGAACUGAGACACGGUCCAGACUCCUACGGGAGGCAGCGGUGGGGAAUAUUGGACAAUGGGCCCAAGCCUGAUCCAGCCAUACCGCGUGGGUGAAGAAGGCCUUCGGGUUGUAAAGCCCUUUUGUUGGGAAAGAAAAGCAGCAGGUUAAUACCCCGCUGUUCUGACGGUACCCAAAGAAUAAGCACCGGCUAACUUCGUG
rnacentral:rRNA from 1 species